rnacentral:rRNA from 1 species
CUAUCAGAUGAGCCUAGGUCGGAUUAGCUAGUUGGUGAGGUAAUGGCUCACCAAGGCGACGAUCCGUAACUGGUCUGAGAGGAUGAUCAGUCACACUGGAACUGAGACACGGUCCAGACUCCUACGGGAGGCAGCAGUGGGGAAUAUUGGACAAUGGGCGAAAGCCUGAUCCAGCCAUGCCGCGUGUGUGAAGAAGGUCUUCGGAUUGUAAAGCACUUUAAGUUGGGAGGAAGGGUUGUAGAUUAAUACUCUGCAAUUUUGACGUUACCGACAGAAUAAGCACCGGCUAACUCUGUGCCAGCAGCCGCGGUAAUACAGAGGGUGCAAGCGUUAAUCGGAAUUACUGGGCGUAAAGCGCGCGUAGGUGGUUUGUUAAGUUGGAUGUGAAAUCCCCGGGCUCAACCUGGGAACUGCAUCCAAAACUGGCAAGCUAGAGUAUGGUAGAGGGUGGUGGAAUUUCCUGUGUAGCGGUGAAAUGCGUAGAUAUAGGAAGGAACACCAGUGGCGAAGGCGACCACCUGGACUGAUACUGACACUGAGGUGCGAAAGCGU